rnacentral:rRNA from 1 species
GGAUCCAGACUUUGAUCCUGGCUCAGGAUGAACGCUGGCGGCGUGCUUAACACAUGCAAGUCGAACGAAGCACUUUAAUUGAUUUCUUCGGAAUGAAGUUUUUGUGACUGAGUGGCGGACGGGUGAGUAACGCGUGGGUAACCUGCCUCAUACAGGGGGAUAACAGUUGGAAACGACUGCUAAUACCGCAUAAGCGCACAGGAUUGCAUGAUCCAGUGUGAAAAACUCCGGUGGUAUGAGAUGGACCCGCGUCUGAUUAGCCAGUUGGCGGGGUAACGGCCCACCAAAGCGACGAUCAGUAGCCGACCUGAGAGGGUGACCGGCCACAUUGGGACUGAGACACGGCCCAAACUCCUACGGGAGGCAGCAGUGGGGAAUAUUGCACAAUGGGGGAAACCCUGAUGCAGCGACGCCGCGUGAGCGAAGAAGUAUUUCGGUAUGUAAAGCUCUAUCAGCAGGGAAGAAGAAUGACGGUACCUGACUAAGAAGCACCGGCUAAAUACGUGCCAGCAGCCGCGGUAAUACGUAUGGUG